UGAGGCGACAGCUCCAGAGAUUCAGAGACUAUGGUUAAAAAAACCAAAACUUCCAUUUAUUAACAUAGAGUUUUUACAAGCAUAUCCUGACAAUUUGAAAGAGGAAAUACCUUUUUGUAUAUGGAUAAAAAUAUAUUUAUAUUGGCGUUCACAAUUGGAGAUGAGAAGUUCUUUAAAUGAAAUAACAGUAGGCGAUGAUAAAUCCUUAUAGAUGACAAAUGAUGAUAAAUCCUUGUAGAUGAUGAACGACAAUAAAUCCUUGCAGAUGACGUACGGCGAAUCCCUUCUUGAGGAAGGACAACAAAACCAUUUGUUCUUACUAGACCGCCUAUUCUUGUCAGAUUGCUGUGUGCUAAAUUCUUACAUGCAUUUUUAUAUAGUCCCUGGUGUUUUGACCUUCCACCUGGGUUUUGAAUGCUAUGAAGACAUUAUUAUAAACAAUUGUCAUCACCCGACACCUUUGUAUACAUUUACAAUAUGAGUUAGU
rnacentral:lncRNA from 1 species